GACAGAGGUGCCGAGCGUUAGGCGGAAUCACUGGGCUUAAAGCGUGUGUAGGCGGGCCGUUAAGUGCCCCGUGAAAUCCCCCGGCUCAACCGGGGAACGGCGGGGCAUACUGGCGGCCUUGAGCCACUUAAGGGCAGACGGAACAAGCGGUGGAGCGGUGAAAUGCGUAGAUAUCGCUUGGAACGCCGACGGUGAAAACAGGUUGCUGGGAAUGUGCCGACGCUGAGACACGAAAGCCAGGGGAGCAAACGGG
rnacentral:rRNA from 1 species